GAUGAACGCUGACAGAAUGCUUAACACAUGCAAGUCAACUUGAAUUUGGGUUUUUAACUUAGGUUUGGGUGGCGGACGGGUGAGUAACGCGUAAAGAACUUGCCUCACAGCUAGGGACAACAUUUGGAAACGAAUGCUAAUACCUAAUAUUAUGAUAAUAGGGCAUCCUAUAAUUAUGAAAGCUAUAAGCGCUGUGAGAGAGCUUUGCGUCCCAUUAGCUAGUUGGAGAGGUAACGGCUCACCAAGGCGAUGAUGGGUAGCCGGCCUGAGAGGGUGAUCGGCCACAAGGGGACUGAGACACGGCCCGUACUCCUACGGGAGGCAGCAGUGGGGAAUAUUGGACAAUGGACGAAGAGUCUGAUCCAGCCAUUCUGUGUGCACGAUGAAGUUUUUCGGAAUGUAAAGUGCUUUCAGUUGGGAAGAAAGAAAUGACGGUACCAACAGAAGAAGUGACGGCUAAAUACGUG
rnacentral:rRNA from 1 species